GAUGAACGCUAGCGACAGGCCUAACACAUGCAAGUCGAGGGGCAGCACGAAGUAAGCUUGCUUACUUUGGUGGCGACCGGCGCACGGGUUCGUAACAGGUGUGCAAUCUGUCCAUAGUCGGGGAGUAGCCCAGCGAAAGUUGGAUUAAUGCUCCAUGUGAGUUUUAGAGGCAUCUCUUUAAUUUGAAACGUAAGGAUUAUGGGUGAGCACGCUUCUGAUUAGGUAGUUGGUGAGGUAACGGCUCACCAAGCCGACGAUCAGUAGGGGUUCUGAGAGGAAGGUCCCCCACAUUGGAACUGAGACACGGUCCAAACUCCUACGGGAGGCAGCAGUGAGGAAUAUUGGUCAAUGGGCGAAAGCCUGAACCAGCCAAGUCGCGUGAAGGAUGAAGGUUCUAUGGAUUGUAAACUUCUUUUGUCUGAGGGUAAAAAAGCGGACGUGUCCGUUCUUGCAAGUAUCAGACGAAUAAGCAUCGGCUAACUCCGUGCCAGCCGCCGCGGUAAAAC
rnacentral:rRNA from 1 species